AUUUCGAAGUUUUGACCCAGAUCAGUCGGAGGCCACGGAAUGCUCAUGAAGUCUGGAGAGUUUGUUUAGUUCCUGAGUCCGGUAGCUGCCGAGGAGCCAAAGAGAGCCGGCAACCUGUUGGGCUUGAGCUGAAGCCUUGCCUUUUCAAGUUUGUGCUGGCCUGGCCUCCCCAAGCCUCUGAGGAGGACUCAGGAGAGUGCAGCUUGCUCUGUGAGUGGGUGACAACCUCUUGGCGACUCAGGCUCAGCUGAGGAUGGUGCCAGUGUGCCGGAGACAGCCGUCAUACUGCCGGAUAGAGUGGCUCACUUGCAUGUAUUUGGAACAAAAAAAGGAGAUGCCUGGCAGCCCCGCUCUCUGCAGUGCUGUUGAGCCACCAAUUUUUGUGGUUUUGUGACCACAAGUGCUGACUGAUGCGACAUGACCCCAGUCUUGUCAGUGAAUCAUCACCAGGCUGCUUACUGGAAACUGGAUGCAGCAAGGAAAUAGGAUUUAACCGCUCUCUGCCUCCCAGGAGCCCUGAAAUCAGCAUUCCCAGAGGAAAGAAGAUGGCCAUCUGGGCUUGGCUUCCGGCUCCCCCCAUCUGGCUGGAACACACAUCAGUCACGUAAGUAGCUGUGACUCAGCACCCAGCACUGCCUUGGCAGAACCUUCCCACGUUCUGGAUUUGCACACACUGUGGUAGCGCAGCACAAGCAAGCAGGGUUAGGUAACUGGGGACCAGUGUCUGUUUGUUCAGUGGGUUUGCCUAUGGAUUUCAGAAAGAAGGAUUCCCUCACCUUCCCAUUUUCCUCCCAUGUUAUUUUUUAGGUACCAUGCUAGGCUUUAAAGACAAAGCAUCAUUUAUAGAAUGAAGUAGAAGCUGUCUUUGCAGUCUCCAAACUAUUUUUAACCAACAGCCUAUAGAUGGUAUUUAACCCUCAGGUGUGUUUGGCCUGCACGGGUUUUUGUUUUUGUUUGAGACAGGGUUUCACUCUGUAGCCCAGGCUGGAGUGCAGUGGCACGAUAUCAGCUUGCUGCAACCUCUGCCUCCCGGGCUCGAGCAGUUCUCAUGCCUCAGCCUCCUGAGUAGCUGGGACUACAGGUGCCACCACACCUGGCUAGGGUUAUUUUAAUGUAUCUGAUUUUGCAUGCAUUUAGACAAAAUAUGGCCUCUCCAGUUCACUGUAUUUCUGCUGCAUGCUGUUGCUGCUUCUCUGUCUCAGGUUUCCUGCCCAAGCCCUCCGAGCAUUUGAAUGUGCUGUGAGCAGCCUACCUCAGCCUCCUCUCUUUACACAUGAAGACACUGAGGCCCAUUCAGGGCAAGUGGCAGGUCCCUGUUCUCAGAGUUGGGGCCAAGCAGCCCUGUGUAACCUCCUCUGUGCCUUUCCCAUGGAGCACUGUGUCAUAUCACAAGUAGAACUACAAGAAGAUAUUUCUCCUCAGGGCAGAGGCUGGGUCUUCCGAUUGAAUCUCCCUUCUUUCUUCAUUGAGAUCCUCUUCUUCUGGAAGCUGGUUUCACAUGGUGGCUUAGAUUUUUCCAUCUUUGUAUCUAGCACCAUUUGAAAUCAGUGUUUUAGGAGUAAGAAUUGCAGCACAGCCAAGGGUGGACUGCAGAGGAACUGCUGCUCAUGGAACUGGCUCCUCUCCUCUUGCCACUUGAGUCUGUUCGAGAAGUCCAGGGAAGAACUUGAAGAGCAAAAUACACUCUUGAGUUUGUUGGGUUUUGGGAGAGGUGACAGUAGAGAAGGGGGUUGUGUUUAAAAUAAACACAGUGGCUUGAGCAGGGGCAGAGGUUGUGAUGCUAUUUCUGUUGACUCCUAGCAGCCAUCACCAGCAUGAAUGUGUUCGUAGGGCCUUUGAGUGUGGCGAUUGUCAUAUUCUGUUGGAUAACAAUGUAUUGGGUGUCGAUUGUCAUGGGGCAGGGGAGAGGGCAGUACACCUGGAGGACCAUUUUGUCCACAUCGACACCAUCAGUCUGCUCUUAGAGGAUGCCCUGGAGUAUUCGGCGUUGAUUGCGGGGCACCCGAAAUCAGACUUGCCACCUGGACUGUCGAGGUGCAGACCCUGGGAGCACCACUGGCCCAUCUCUUACACAGGCUGACCGAUUUCUCCUGGUGUUCAGAGUCUGUUUUUGUCUAGCACCAUUUGAAAUCGGUUAUGAUGUAGGGGGAAAAGCAGCAGCCUCGAAGCCUCAUGCCAACUCUGGGCAGCAGCAGCCUGUGGUUUCCUGGAAGAUGGAUGGGCAGAGAAUAGGGAAGGAAGAUCAUGCUUUUCCCUACUAACUUCUGUAACUGCAUGUAUGAUACAUUAUUGCAGAGGUAAGAGAUAGUUUAAUGGAUUUUUAAAAACAAAUUACUAUAAUUUAUCUGAUGUUCUCUAGUUGCAUUUUGCUGAAAUGUAGUGCUGUUCUAAAUUCUGUAAAUUGAUUGCUGUUGAAUUAUCUUUCUGUUGAGAAGAGUCUAUUCAUGCAUCCUGACCUUAAUAAAUACUAUGUUCAGUUUAUCAUGUCUGUGUUUUUCAUCUAUUAUUUCCCAUUCAUAAUUCUGUGAUGAUAAGAAGUGGGUCCUGAAAAAUUAAUUGGCUGUGCAGAUCUUGCCUACUUCAUAAAGAAUUUGAAGUAGGUUACAGCCAGCCAGACAUUAAAAAUGAAGCCCAUUAAGAGAAGAAUGAAAUUCUAUGAGCCAAGAAAUAAAAUGAGAGAAAAGAUUAGGGAAGAGAAGAAAUGUUGAAGAUCAAGGCUGAGGGAUGCUCCCUACUGAAUGGGAAAACUCCUUAGUUCCACAUGGGCUGUAGACACAGCCCUUCUGCCAGCAACUGUUCCUGCAAGGAACUGGUGCUCAACUAAACAUACUGUCACAUGGUUCCUUGAAGGGGCACAGCACUGAUUUCACUUGCAUUAUAAAAGAUUGAGUGGUGCUUUUGACUAUUAGUUUAUGUCAACACUUCAAAACAAGAUGAGCCAGUUUUUUUUUGUUUUUUUUUUUUGUUUGUUUGUUUGUUUUAGACGGAGUCUCACCCUGUCACCCAGGCUGGAGUGCAAUGGCACUGUCCCCGCUCACUGCAACCUCCGCCUCCCGGGUUCAAGCAAUUCUGCCUCAGCCUUCCGAGUAGCUGGGAUUACAGGCGUGGCACCUCCACGCCCAGCUAAUUUCUGUAUUUUGUAGUAGAGACGGGGUUUCAUCAUGUUGGCCAGGCUUGUCUCGAACUGCUGACCCCGUGAUCCACCCACCUCAGCCUCCCAAAGUGCUGGGAUUACAGGCGUGAACCACCUCGCCUGGCCCAGUGAGCCAGUUUUGUAAAGCUAUUCAGAGAUUAGCCAGAUUUGAUUUGAUAGGGGAUCAAGCUUGUAGGAUCUUCAGGAAGGCGGGCUGUGGCCCCUUGAUCAGGCUUUUUGCACAGGAGGUGCAUGACUAUGAACUACCCUCAGUAGAACUCUUUUAAGCCAGUGGCUUGCAAUAAAUGAUGGCAAAUCAGCCACCUAGGAAGCCAUUUCUAAGCCCAACCCCCUGCCACAGUCUUCCUCUAGAUGGCUGCCCUGCCCAGUGGGCUGAGAGUGGGGGGCGGAAGUAGCAUUUGCUGGGAAGACUUGCCAGUACAUAUGUUGCACCCCCUCACUGCAGCUGCAGUGCUAUUUCAGGCUGUUGAUGGAAGAACCCAUGUUCUAAUCCCCAGGAUGUGGUGGGAAGACCCUAAGUGGUGGUGUUAGUUAAGACCCUAAGUUAUAUUGUUUUGUUCACUUCCCACUGAGAUAGGCUACAAUAGUAUUAAAUACCUAUAGGUCAGACAUUUUUGGGGUCUGUUGUACUACCUACCAAUUAAACAGUUUUUGAUCCGCCCACCACGCUCAAAGCUCCAGCCUAGGUGUUGCAAAUACAGACGACAGAUUUUUGCUCUCAGGAGGCCCUGAUUCCAGUCCUCAAACGAGUAAGUGUGAAAUUGAGUGCAGCAUUAAAGCACAAAAACAAUGAUUUGAGACGUCUUUUCUAUAAAAGAAGUUUAUAGCACUCUCAUUGAAUGCUUAAAUAGUGCCACACUGCUAAGUCGUGAGAAGCAAAAUGUAACUGCGGUGCCUCAAACAGGAUUAUUUUGUUUUAUUCAUUUGGAUGCGGACAGCUCUUUAUCUAAAAUUGCCAUUCUGAGGUGGUUUUGCACAAUAAAUUGGUAAUUAUGUAGACUGUUUCUUCCAGAGACAGCAUCUUGAAUCGGGUUUAUGAAGCCAUGCUAUCAACCUAGGUAGAAAAUGCUUUGUAGGACAUGGGUCCUGCUUAUCUAAAUUUUACCAGAUUUUAUUAGCUGUAAAUUUAUAAGCGGGUCUUGGUGAAUAGAUAAUGAAAAAAAUAUUGAGUGGGGAGGCUUAUUAGACUGACAGCACCUUCAAGACUCAUGCAAGUUGGACUGGAAAAUCCCACCUGUGGAAGUAAAACACUGAUGAGUCCUUAAUAAAUAUGGAUGAGACAAGUCAAAUAUUUGGCCAAUUUAGGUGAAACAGAAAUAAGUCUAGAACUGGACAAUUAUUUGUGUAACAUACUGGCCCAGACCUUCACUUUGAGAAGCUGGUGUGUAGUUUCAGGAGAGUACCUGGCAGACUAGUGUGUCCAUACUUCGAUGGAGCUUGAGAGUUUUCCUUGAACACAAAAGUUGUAUUUUUGAGUUUAUUCUAGUAUGAUGGUGCCCUACCCUAUCUUCCUAUUCAGUUCACCCAAAGAGCCUUUAAAUUAGUGUUCCCUUGGUCCCAUCCCUACAGUCUCUGGUUUUGCUGGUCUGGGAAUGGGUCUGGACAUCACUGUUGUUUUAAAGUUGAGAGCCUCUCUUCUGUGGUCUUGUUCCUAAAACGCUUUACUACUCACUGUGGUCUGAGGGCCCCCAGCACUGGUGUGUUAGUUUCCUGUGGCUGCCCUAAAAAAUUACCACAAACAUGGUGUCUUAAAACAACACACAUUUGUACAGUUACAGAUUCCAGAAGCCUGCAAUCAGCUCACUGGACUGCAAGGGCCACCCGCCCUCUCAGAAGCGCCGGGAGAGAACAGGUUUUCUUGCCUUCUUCAGCUGCUAGAGCUGCGUUCUUUGGCUUGCACCCCCUUCCUCUGUCUUCCAAGCCAGCGGGGCAGUCUUUUGCUUCAGUGGCCAUGUUGUCUUCUGGCACAGUCACAUCUCCCCCUGCCUCCCUCUUAGAAGGACCCUUGUGGUUACAUUUAGGGCCCCCACCUGGAUAAUCCAGGAUAAUCUCCCUAUUUCAAUUUUCUUAAUCUCAUCUGUAAAGACCCUUUUGCCAUAUAAAGUAACAUUCACAGGUUCCAGGUAUUAGGACUUGGAUAUCUUUAGAGGCCAUCAUACAGCCCACCACAAACAGCUCCUUAGGCACUCAUUAGAAAUGCAGAACCUCAGGCCCCAACCGAUACCUUUUGAAUCUUCUGAUUCUAAUUUAAGAAGAUCACCAUGUAACUCACUAGCACACUAAGACUUGAGAAGCACGAUGCUAUGGGAACCUAACCAAAGAAUUCUCAAGUCCCAACUUAAAUACAAAUUUACAGAGUAUUUUUCCUAGGAACGCUUUCAGGUGGAGGAGAUUAAUCAGACGAUAGAUAAUUUUCCUGAACACCAUUCUGAAGUGCUUCUCUAAGCAUUUGUUCCUGAAUUCUCUCUCAAUGAAGCCACAAGCCCCAAACACCAGGAUUACUGUUUACAGGGGUUCCUGUUUACAGUAGUUUAGCACAGGGUUUGCCACACUGCAGCAUAUUAUUAUAGUUUAGUUUUGUAAAAAGCUACAUGAGAGAGGUAAAUCUUAUAAAUGGAGGUGGAGUCUCCUAACACCAGUUUUACCACCUCUGUACAGGUUUCCCUGGGCUAUGUACUAUCGAAUCAGGAAUCAGGAAGGGCGGCUUUUUCAAAUGUUAUCUAUACUUUUGGCAAUUUGUUCAAACGUUCUGCUGGUAUGUGAGAGGGAAGGAAAAAUUGUUUAUUGACCACAGAUCCACAAUAUUAUACUUCUCCUAUACUUAAGCAAUAAGGGACAGCAUUUAAAACUCUUUUAAAAAUGUUAAUCUUGGCUGGGCACAGUGGCUCAUGCCUGGAUCCCCAGUAAUUUGGAACACUGAGGCAGGCAGAUUGCUUGAGGCCAGGAGUUCGAGACUAGCUUGGGCAACAUGCGAGAGCCCGUCUCUACAAAAAAAAAAAAAAAAUACAAAAAUUAUCCAGGCAUGGUGGUGCACACCUGUAGUCCCAGCUGUUGGGGAAAGCUAAGUUGGGAGGAUCCCUUGAACCCAGGAGGUUGAGGCUGCAGUAAGCUGUGAUUGAGCCACUGAGCUCCAGCCUGGGUGACAGAGCGAGAUCCUGUGUCAAAAAAUAAUUUUGAUUUCACGGAAGGAGAAGAGGACUAGUCUUAUACCAUAUCCCAAAUGAAAUUGAAAAUGUCUUCUGGGAAUCACAGCAAUGACUCAAACUUCUGAAUAGUGACUAGGUUUGAGCUGGUAAGGAAGGGAUUGUCAAAUGCCGUGACAGUCCACAGGAGGGCAGCAGUGCUCCGAUUUACAAAGGAUUAGUCAUACUAGUGUAACCUUUUCUGAGUGAGCCUAGAAAUUCUGAUGAAAACAGUGUAGUCCAGGAAAAAAAAAAAAAAAAUCUGUAUGUACAAUCACUCAAUUUUGAAUCAUUUCUGGAAGUUAUUAGACUCCAUGUUAAAUCCUACUUAAGUACAAGUAUGCAAAAUUUAAAAAUAUGCAGAAAAGCUCAUUCUUGGUUAAAAUGUUAGCUGAAAGACAUUACUAAGUUUUAGAAUACCAUAGAGUUGACUAUUUCCCACAAACCCUAAAAUCUACUUGAACACCACAAAUUCAUAUUCCUUCUAAUCCCAAGUCCCUUCAGCAUUCUUACAGAUUUAUUGUUAGUUACCUUACAAAGUAACUAACUGUCCCCAUGUAUUUUAUCCCAAUUUAAAAAAUACAUUACAGUCUCAAGGUCACAUAAGAUUUUCCAAAAUGCUCUAUUCAUAGUCAAUAUAAUUUUCAGGCCGGGUGCGGUGGCUCAUGCCUGUAAUCCCAGCACUUUGGGAGGCCAAGGUGGGCGGAUCACCUGAGGUUGGGAGUUCGAGACCAGCCUGACCAACAUGGAGAAACCCCGUCUCUACUAAAAAUACAAAAUUAGCCAGACGCGGUGGUGCAUGCCUGUAAUCCCAGCUACUCAGGAGGCUGAGUCAGGAGAAUCGCUUGAACCCAGAAGGUGGAAGCUGUGGUGAGCCGAGAUAGUGCCAUUGCACUCCAGCCUGGGCAACAAGAUCGAAACUCCAUCUCAAAAUAUGUGUGUGUGUGUGUGUGUGUGUGUGUGUGUGUGUGUAUAUAUAUAUAUAUAUAUAUACACACACACACAUAUAUAUAUAAUUUUCACCUAGUGUUUUAUUAAACAGAAUGCUUCUGUAUUUUUAUGUUUAUUUGAGACAAUGCUUCUGUAUUUCUAAACAACAGCUAGCCUUGUUCAGUUAGCCAAACAACAAAACCUUAAUUCAAGUCUUCAAUGAAAUUUUCUGAUUUAAUAGGCUGAAUUAAGAAAGCCAUAAUUUUCUUCUAUAAAUAUAAGCCUUUAACUUCUAUCUUUACAAGUUUAUAUAGAAAAAUUUACUGUGGGGCUUGAGAUUUACUAAUGCAUGGGUUUUCAACCUUAGCUGCACUUUGGAAUCAUUUAGGACGCUUGGAAAUCCCUACACCCAAACCACAUCCCAGAUCAAUUACACUAGAAAUCUCUAGGGGUGGGACCCAGGUGUCUGUAAAUAUCCCCCGGUGAUUGCAAUGUGCAGCCAUGGUUGAGAAACACUGAAGCCUGCUCUGAGAAAU
rnacentral:lncRNA from 1 species